GACGAACGCUGGCGGCGUGCCUAACACAUGCAAGUCGAACGGAAAGGCCCUGCCUUUGUGGUGGGCUCGAGUGGCGAACGGGUGAGUAACACGUGAGUACCCUUCCCGUGACUUUGGGAUAACCUCAGGAAACUGGGGCUAUUACCCGAUAGGAGCUCCUGCUGCAUGGUGGGGGCUGGAAAGUUUAGGCGGUUGGGGAUGGACUCGCGGCUUAUCAGCUUGGUGGUGGGGUAGUGGCAUACCAAGGCCUUGACGGGUAGCCGGCCUGAGAGGGUGACCGGCCACAAUGGGACUGCGAUACGGCGCAGACUCCUACGGGAGGCAGCGGUGGAGAGUCUUACACAAUAAGCGGAAGCCUGAUGCGGCAACGCCCCGUGCGGGAUGCCGGCCUUCGGGUUGUGAACCGCUUUCGCCUGUGACGAAGCGUGAAUGACGGUAAUGGGUAAAGAAGCACCGGCUAACUACGUG
rnacentral:rRNA from 1 species